rnacentral:rRNA from 1 species
AUGGCUUCGCGGCUGCGGCGGCGGGCAAGGAGGCUGCUGCGGCUGCUGCGGCAUCGACUGCAAGCUUCCAAGAAGCGUAAGAUCGACGACCAAGAUCCAUCGGGGAGUGGCAACUGCGACCAUGUCGAUGGGGGAAGCGUCGAUCACAUCAGCCGAGUCCCCGACGCCGUCCUCGGCACCGUCGUGUCUCUUCUCCCCACCAAGGAAGGUGCCCGCACGCAGGUCCUCUCCCGCCGGUGGCGUCCGAUCUGGCGCUCCGCUCCUCUGAAUCUCGCGCUGGACUGUGAACUCAAGAACCUGGACUCGAUCCCAAAGAUCCUCUCUGAGCAUACUGGCCCCGCGCAACGCUUCUCCGUCCGCCUCUUCACCGACUGCGGCGACGAGAUCGAUGGCUGGCUUAGCUCCCAAUCCCUGGACAUGCUACAGGAGCUCGAGCUCACCUGCAUGUUCUGGCUCGGCCGGCGUCCAUUGUCCUUGUCGGCGUUCCGAUUUUCGCCCACUCUCCGCGUGGCCAAAUUCCACGGGUUCCAUUUCCCCAACUCGAUCUCGCAGCUGUCCCUCAAGUUCCCCUGCCUCAAGCAGCUGACCCUGAAAAAGGUCGUCAUCUCGGAGGACGUUCUCCAGAGCAUGCUCUCUGGCUGCUCUGCCUUGGAAAGCCUCGAGCUAAAGGAAAGUCGGGGCAUCAGUCGCCUCUGCAUCAGCUCCCAAACUCUUAGGAGUUUGGGAUUUUUCGUUGACUGGUGGAAUGGAAGUAAUCAUAUCUUUUUGCAAGAGUUAGUCAUCGAGGACGCCCCGUGCCUUGAGAGAUUGCUACCACUUAAUUCAACGGGCAGCAAAGUGGUCAUACGGAUAAUCUGCGCGCCUAAACUGGAGAUAUUCGGUAUGCUCCUGUCUGAAGUCAUACCCGAAUUCCAACUUGGGAGUUCAAUUAUUCAGGAAGGGGUUGCUGUCAGUUUGACAACCAAAAUGCACACCAUGAGGGUUUUGGCUCUCAGCUCUACUGGCCCUAAUCUGGAUGCAGUGGUUAACUUCCUCAAGUGCUUCCCUUGCUUGGAGAGGUUGUAUGCCAUUUUCCGGUUACCCUCAUACGACCCAGGGGAGUAUAUGAAUGCCCGGAAGUAUGACCCACUGGACCCAAUUGAAUGUCUUGAGCUUCAUCUCAAAAAAGUAGUGUUGAAGAAUUAUGUCGGCAGCAAGACUUCAUAUAUUGACUUUGCCAGGUUCUUUGUUCUGAAUACAAAAGGGCUAGAGGAAAUGAAAAUCACAUUGCGUUACCACCGCCAGCACGGAUGGUUUUCUCAUCAACUCAGCCUGCUACGAGUCACAAGUAGAGCUUCUCGAGAUGCUCGAAUUGAAAUGAGAUGUGGCACUAACGAUGAUUUCACACACAACAGGGAUGCCCAUGAUUUCUCAAUGGGUGACCCCUUUGACUUGCCCUCCAGCGGAUGCUCAGCGUGUGAAGAGGAGGGUCUAGGAGAUGCUGUAUACCAAAUUUAA